rnacentral:rRNA from 1 species
GAUCCAGCCAUGCCGCGUGUGUGAAGAAGGCUUUCGGGUUGUAAAGCACUUUCAGCGAGGAAGAARGCCUCUGGGUUAAUACCCCAGAGGAAGGACAUCACUCGCAGAAGAAGCACCGGCUAACUCCGUGCCAGCAGCCGCGGUAAUACGGAGGGUGCGAGCGUUAAUCGGAAUUACUGGGCGUAAAGCGCGCGUAGGUGGCUUGGCACGCCGGUUGUGAAAGCCCCGGGCUCAACCUGGGAACKGCAUCCGGAACGGCCAGGCUAGAGUGCAGGAGAGGAAGGUAGAAUUCCCGGUGUAGCGGUGAAAUGCGUAGAGAUCGGGAGGAAUACCAGUGGCGAAGGCGGCCUUCUGGCCUGACACUGACACUGAGGUGCGAAAGCGUGGGUAGCAAACAGGAUUAGAUACCCUGGUAGUCCACGCCGUAAACGAUGUCGACUAGCCGUUGGGACCUUUAAGGACUUAGUGGCGCAGUUAACGCGAUAAGUCGACCGCCUGGGGAGUACGGCCGCAAGGUUAAAACUCAAAUGAAUUGACGGGGGCCCGCACAAGCGGUGGAGCAUGUGGUUUAAUUCGAUGCAACGCGAAGAACCUUACCUACCCUUGACAUCCAGAGAACUUUC